AGCAGCCGCGGUAAUUCCAGCUCCAAUAGCGUAUAUUAAAGUUGUUGCAGUUAAAAAGCUCGUAGUUGAAUUUCGGGAUUGACACAUCGGUCGUGCCUUAAGGGGUGUGAACUGGUGUAGUCAAUUUCUCACCUUCUGGAGAACCGCGAUGUCCUUAAUUGGGUGCCACGAGGAACCAGGACCUUUACUUUGAAAAAUUAGAGUGUUUAAAGCAGGCAUUUUUGCUUGAAUACAUUAGCAUGGAAUAAUAAAAUAGGACGGCAUGAUUCUAUUUUGUUGGUUUCUAGGAUCACCGUAAUGAUUAAUAGGGAUAGUUGGGGCAUUAGUAUUCAAUUGUCAGAGGUGAAAUUCUU
rnacentral:rRNA from 1 species